ACCUUACACAAUGCGGGGACAUAUGGAAGCUCCUCAGUCAUCAGUGGACAAGGGUGUCGUGGAGACGAAACAGACAUACUCGAAUGUCCUCCGCCGACAAUUGGGAGAUCAAAUGUGUGCGGUUCAUCUUAUAGUCUUGCAGUGAACUGUGCCCCGAAUUCCACAGUAAGAAUCUUAGAUGGUUCUUCUGUCAAGUCUGGCAGAGUGGAGGUCUUAUAUAACGGAACUUGGCUUGGUAUUUGUCGUCAAGGAAAUCCUUACAACAACUACGACAUUACAGCGACAAGCAUAAAUCUUCUGUGUAAGCAGUUAGGAUUCAAUCAAAGUGGGUAUUUGAUCACGUCAACGUCAAAACGAAGUCAAGCGGUGAUACCUAACCUUGAAUGCAGUGACACUGCAACCGAUGUUUCGGAUUGUAAGUCUGGGAAAUGGGGAUCUGUAUAUUCGUGUACACAGGCGGCCAUUG